GCCUAGGUACUACGGGAAAGAAAGCUGUUAGCUCUGUUUGUCCCUAGCCGAGCUUGCAGCACAGAAUCGACAGGAUGCGUGGGCGGCAAGACGAAAAAGCCGCGUCCGAGAUCCGUAAUGUCGGAUAGCUGCUCUGUGACCGAUGAAGAACAGCGUGCCCGUGAGGAUCACCUUUGCAAACAGAAGCAGGAGUGGGCACGAAAGCAUCGGCGACCAAUUGCAGUAUAUCACAGUGACCACAAAGCAAUGGUUACCAUGGUGACAAAGUGGAAAAGGAAAGUAUCAGCAACGUUCUCACACCUACACUGUCCUUAUUGGGACACAAACUGACUGCUGUUACUGAACAGCGCUCCGUGGCAUUCAAGUGAAGAAUGAUCUUGAUCGUCACUUAUACGAAUAAUCAUUCGGUUGUAUGGCUGGGAUUCCUAGGUCAUGUGAAUUGCAGUGGAGCUACUUAGUGUAGUGACUGACUUGGGGCUGCUCAGUAGUCUUUUUUUUUUUGAUGCCACUCUAAUGUCCGCCAAAUAAAAGAAAAUGUUUCUUUCUA